UACGAAGGGGGCUAGCGUUGUUCGGAAUUACUGGGCGUAAAGCGCACGUAGGCGGACUCUUAAGUCGGUGGUGAAAUCCUGGAGCUCAACUCCAGAACUGCCUUCGAUACUGAGAAGCUCGAGUCCGGGAGAGGUGAGUGGAACUGCGAGUGUAGAGGUGAAAUUCGUAGAUAUUCGCAAGAACACCAGUGGCGAAGGCGGCUCACUGGCCCAUAACUGACGCUGAGGCACGAAAGCGUGGGGAGCAAACAGG
rnacentral:rRNA from 1 species